UUUCCUCCCCCCGGGAACCUCCUGACCUGUCCCUCCUCGGAAACCCAUCAGUCACCUCCCAGGCCCCAUCCAAGCAGAUGCUCUUCUCCAAACGGCCAGCCGGGGAAUUUCGGUGCCGGGGCACCUCGCCCGCCAUGACUGAGAUUAAGACACCGAGGCUGAGCCGAGGUGAAAGCCACGGCCAAGGUCACCGACCUGAGAAGAGCUCCAAAGCUUGGCUCCAAGCUCAGAUCUUCUGACUCGAAUCCAGCGCGGCCGAGGCAGGAAACCGGCAGGAUGGCCCCUGCGGGCCGGCUGCUAUGCGCUGGCCCGUCCUCAGAUAAGGAGCUCCCGGGAGAGGAAGGAUCUGGGACAAAGAUCUGAACGGAGCGGGCGGACAGGAAAUUCUGCCGGCUGGGAUUUUCCCUGCCACCGGGACCCAGGCAGAGGGGCAGGAGGGCCAGCGAGCCAGGGUUCCCGAGACGCCCAGUCACGGUGCCAGGCUCCCCAGCGGUCCCCUGGUGGCCGGGAGCCGUCGGAGGUCUGUGCACGGGACAGUCCCAAGGGAUGCUCUCAGGAACCAAGUGAGGCUGCCUUGAAGGACACAGACAGAUCCCUGCAAGCAAGCCGUGGACACUGGUGAAUAACCACAGUGGCUCACAGACGCUGGGGGCUGACUCCGUGCGGCCACGGGAAUGUCCUGCCUGAGCCUCCUUAGAGCCCUUGCAAGGCGGGUACUGUCACUUUCUCACUCUGCAGAUGAAGAGGCAGGAUGGGAGAGGUUAUACGACUUUUCCAGGACCGUACAGCUAGUAGGUUGCACAUCUGGAAAUUUACAUAUAUAUAUUUAUUGAUUUCAGAUAUGAAGAGAGAGAGAGAGAGAGAGAGAGAGAGAGAGAGAGAGAGAAACAUCAAUGAUGAGAGGGAAUCAUG